UNGCUGCCCCUCAGUCCCCUGUGAC
rnacentral:piRNA from 1 species